rnacentral:rRNA from 1 species
UGCCGGGAUGCUCCAGUUGAUCGCAUGGUCUUCUGGGAAAGCUUUCGCGGUAUGGGAUGGGGUCGCGUCCUAUCAGCUUGACGGCGGGGUAACGGCCCACCGUGGCUUCGACGGGUAGCCGGCCUGAGAGGGCGACCGGCCACAUUGGGACUGAGAUACGGCCCAGACUCCUACGGGAGGCAGCAGUGGGGAAUAUUGCACAAUGGGCGCAAGCCUGAUGCAGCGACGCCGCGUGAGGGAUGGAGGCCUUCGGGUUGUAAACCUCUUUUAUCGGGGAGCAAGCGAGAGUGAGUUUACCCGUUGAAUAAGCACCGGCUAACUACGUGCCAGCAGCCGCGGUAAUACGUAGGGUGCAAGCGUUAUCCGGAAUUAUUGGGCGUAAAGGGCUCGUAGGCGGUUCGUCGCGUCCGGUGUGAAAGUCCAUCGCUUAACGGUGGAUCCGCGCCGGGUACGGNCGGGCUUGAGUGCGGNAGGGGAGACUGGAAUUCCCGG